rnacentral:rRNA from 1 species
GUGGGGAAUAUUGCACAAUGGGCGAAAGCCUGAUGCAGCAACGCCGCGUGAGGGACGACGGCCUUCGGGUUGUAAACCUCUUUUAGUAGGGAAGAAGCGAAAGUGACGGUACCUGCAGAAAAAGCACCGGCUAACUACGUGCCAGCAGCCGCGGUAAUACGUAGGGUGCAAGCGUUAUCCGGAAUUAUUGGGCGUAAAGAGCUCGUAGGCGGUCUGUCGCCUCUGCUGUGAAAACUGGAGGCGCAACCUCCAGCCUGCAGUGGGUACGGGCAGACUAGAGUGCGGUAGGGGAGAUUGGAAUUCCUGGUGUAGCGGUGGAAUGCGCAGAUAUCAGGAGGAACACCGAUGGCGAAGGCAGAUCUCUGGGCCGUAACUGACGCUGAGGAGCGAAAGCGUGGGGAGCGAACAGGAUUAGAUACCCGAGUAGUCC